AGAGUUUGAUCCUGGCUCAGAUUGAACGCUGGCGGCAGGCCUAACACAUGCAAGUCGAGCGGUAGCACAGAGAAGCUUGCUUCUUGGGUGACGAGCGGCGGACGGGUGAGUAACGCGUGGGAAUCUACCUGGUAGUGGGGGACAACAGUCGGAAACGACUGCUAAUACCGCAUACGCCCUUCGGGGGAAAGUGGGGGAUCUUCGGACCUCACGCUAUCAGAUGAGCCCGCGUCGGAUUAGCUUGUUGGUGAGGUAAAGGCUCACCAAGGCGAUGAUCCGUAGCUGGUCUGAGAGGAUGACCAGCCACACUGGGACUGAGACACGGCCCAGACUCCUACGGGAGGCAGCAGUGGGGAAUAUUGGACAAUGGGGGCAACCCUGAUCCAGCCAUGCCGCGUGUGUGAAGAAGGCCUUCGGGUUGUAAAGCACUUUCAGCUGUGAGGAAAGGCGAGUGGUUAAUACCCGCUUACUGUGACGUUAACAGCAGAAGAAGGACCGGCUAACUCCGUGCCAGCAGCCGCGGUAAUACGGAGGGUCCGAGCGUUAAUCGGAAUUACUGGGCGUAAAGCGCGCGUAGGUGGUUCAGUCAGUCAGAUGUGAAAGCCCCGGGCUCAAUCUGGGAACUGCACCUGAUACUGCUGAGCUAGAGUACGGUAGAGGGUAGUGGAAUUUCCGGUGUAGCGGUGAAAUGCGUAGAGAUCGGAAGGAACACCAGUGGCGAAGGCGACUACCUGGACCGAUACUGACACUGAGGUGCGAAAGCGUGGGUAGCAAACAGGAUUAGAUACCCUGGUAGUCCACGC
rnacentral:rRNA from 1 species